UCUUGGUCAUUUAGAGGAAGUAUUAGUCGUAACAAGGUUUCCGUAGGUGAACCUGCGGAAGGAUCAUUA
rnacentral:rRNA from 1 species